GAUCAGCACAGCCCCUCCUUGGAUCCACACGGUUCUCUCCCUCUUCUUGUGUCCUUCUCUAGCUUCUUCUUCUCUUCUCAUUUUCUCUACCCCAUGGCUGACCCAUUGCAAGCUUCCUCUACUCUAAACCACCCAUUAUCACCACUUAAACAACCUAAACCACAACAGCACCGCUCCAUUUUAAUGGAGGCAACAAGUGUUCUCUUGGAGUUGCUGAAACAGUGGUGUAAAGGUUCCAAGGAACUUGGUGAUGGAACUGGUAACUUGAUUGGUUGAAUGCGUUGCUCGGUUGAGGUAAAUUUGGAAUGGAUUGCUGAGUGAUCACCUGAAUUGGUUUCAGUAGUCUUUGUGACAACGGAAUCAAAUCCAGGUCAGUGCCCUUUCACUUUGGAUGACGCGUUCUUCCUUGCUGUCCAUGGGGGGAAGAGGUUCCUUGAUUGUGUGUGGGUGAGGCUGCUACCCAUGGGGCUAAGAGACCACAUGCAAGAGAUGUCCUAUUUGACGUGCUCUCUCUGCUACCCAAGAGGGGAGAGAAAAACCUUGAGGGUAUGGGUGAGGCUGCUGUCCAUGGGGCCAAGAGUCUGCAUACCAGAGAGGACAAUAUCAUGCUAGUUGUGAAUGGGUGGAUCUCCUGACCGGUCUAUGUGGUAGUGUGGUAUAUUUGUGAUAAGUUACCUUAUGUUAGAUAUUAUGGCUUUGGAAAUUAUAUUGUUGGUGCUCAUAGAUUAUAGUAUAUAGUUUCAAAGAAUUUACUUUGAGAAACUUUGUAUUUCAUUAUUAAAUCAUUCUUGUCAUAUUAUUAUUAUUGAA